CCAGCUCGAAGGCCACGAUGCUCAUCACACACAGGAUGGUCCCCAUCCGAUCUCGUGAGCGGGCUAAGGUCUGAGUAUUCGAAUCCCCCUCGAUAGGCUCUAGCAGGGCCCUGUCGUAAUCGACAGAGCGGCAUACCAGCAAAGCAGCUUUUUUCUCGCUUGCCCAAGAUCCUAUUCUGCAGGGGAGGCUUUGAGAAUAUUGGCUUUGAAAGGUGUCGCGGGGAUUAGGCAAGGCUUUGCUUCCGUUGGGUAUCAUACGACUUUGCCUUUAUCUCGCUAAGUGUCCCUCGUAUGGGGCGCCUUGAACGCGGGCAGGCUUGCAACCGGGAAUUCUCCAUGUUGUUGGUGUCGUUCUCGGUCUCAAAUUAGAUAUGGGAUCCCGCUGCGGUCUGUCGCAUGCAGUCGCCACCUGUGUGUUCAGGGCUGUUGGCUUGGGCCUCAAUAUGUUGAAGAGGUCGUUAGAGCGCCACGGCAACGCAUAAAAAUGGACUUCCUAGGUACACAGUCCUCGUCUUCGCGCGAAAAGAAGGCCUUUUGGCUGGAGCUCAUGCGGCUUCGUGUGGUGGAAUAAGAAGCAUACUCCUGGCGAACGAGAAGGCGAACGCAUGCAUUCCUUCUAGGUGUCCUUGUCCUUUAGUGCACUUCGUGGCUCGCGGUUCCUUGUGGACCGUGAAACUCGAUUCAGACUAUUCUCGGACUGG
rnacentral:RNase_P_RNA from 2 species